UACACUGGUGGCGACCGGCGCACGGGUGAGUAACACGUGUGCAACCAACCCGUACCGGAGAUAACCCGCGGAAACGUGGACUAACAUCCCAUAAGACUCUAGAGCCGCAUGGCUCUGGAUUUAAAAUUCCGGUGGUACGGGACGGGCACGCGCGACAUUAGGUAGUUGGCGGGGUAAGGGCCCACCAAGCCGACGAUGUCUAGGGGUUCUGAGAGGAAGGUCCCCCACACUGGAACUGAGACACGGUCCAG
rnacentral:rRNA from 1 species